AACGAACGCUGGCGGCAGGCUUAACACAUGCAAGUCGAGCGCCCCGCAAGGGGAGCGGCAGACGGGUGAGUAACGCGUGGGAACAUACCCUUUAGUACGGAAUAGCCUCGGGAAACUGGGAUUAAUACCGUAUACGCCUACGGGGAAGGAUUAUCGCUAAGGAUUGGCCGCGUUGGAUUAGCUAGUUGGUGAGGUAAUGGCUCACCAAGGCGACGAUCUAUAGCUGGUCUGAGAGGGUGAUCAGCCACACUGGGACUGAGACACGGCCCAGACUCCUACGGAGGCAGCAGUGGGGAAUAUUGGACAAUGGGCGAAAGCCUGAUC
rnacentral:rRNA from 1 species